GGCUAUUGAAUCCCUCAAUUGUUAAUUUAAUUUAAACAUUUUGUUGGAAGAGGGAAUAUGGAUGGUUUGCAUAAUGACUGCUACCCUCUUGGGAGUGUUUCAAAUGUAUUAGAAGAAACAUUAAGCAUGAUUUUCCAAAGCAUACCAUAUCUGGUGCAGAUCACUUAUUAAAUUAGAAGUUUGCAUUUGAAUUUUCCAGCAUAACAUAUAUAAUUUCUGUGUAUUGUAGAUUACCUAAUUUUGUUUCCUGAAAAAGGAUAGGUAUUGUAAUAUUACCUAGUUCGGUAUAUUUCCUAGUGGUUAAAGUACGACUUGCAUGUUUCUAUUUCCUAAAGAGUGACUGACUCCUUGUGUGAGCAGUACAAAACCUCAGGCUCCAGCAGGCUCUUAGCUGUAACAGUACUGACACACUGAGGUCGGAAUGUCAAGGUUUACUUUGUUGACCAUCAAAGCUCUGGGGCAGACUGAAAGCAUACAAAAAUACAGAUAAUUCUCAGGACUUACAGACUGAAACGUGCACAAAGCUUUUUACGGAAACACUCUGAGCUGAGUGCUGCUCACAGUGGGACUCUACUUGAGCAGUUCCAAUGACCAGGGUUCUUACACUGCAGCUCUACUUCACAAAAUGAAGCAGCAGGAGUAGAAAGGUUUUCACUCAACUUCAGCAAAUAUUUAUAUACACUUGUUCAUUUCAUAAUAUCCUAUUCUGCUUAACAAGAUGUUCUGCAUUUUCUGGAAGUCACAUGGCGUAUUAGUAGAAGUUUAUUUUUGUAAGUUCAGCUUUUGUACCAUUAGCUACAUAUAACUUCCUUGGGGAAGGAAAACACUUACAUUAGACAUGGGUAAGCAAUAAUGCAUCAUCAGGCGAGAUCAUUUUGGCUGGAUAUAGAAUUGGAACAGAAAAUGGUUACCUUUUCAGCUGAAGAGAAAUUCAGUAUUCAUUUCUGACAUCAUGGGACUGCUGUAUAGAGUAAGACAGACAAUGUUCCACCCAUACCUCAACUUGUAUUUACAAAGUCCUACAGAACCCAAGAGCUUGAUUCAAAGCCUGUUGAAGUUAUCUGAGUAUUUUUCAUCACUACAGUGAUUAUGGGAAAAAAUGAGAGUGUUAUAUGAAAACAUUUGCCUCUGAAAAUAAAACAUUCUGGAAAAGUAUAAAGACAUUGGGCUGUCUGAUGUAGUGGCAUUAGACUUGCAAAAAUAUCUGAGAUAUUGUGUCCAGUCAGCCUUAGAAUAUAUUUCAGCAUGGUCUACAGCACUUAGGGUUCAACUAAGAAUAACAAGUAUAUUUCUUGACUCACUCAGUUUAAAGACAGUAUAACAACCUUUAUCUUCUUUCCAAUCAGCAUUCCUCCCUUAUUUCUUUCACUGUCUUGUAUAUAAUUAAUCAUUUCUGUGUCUUGGAAGUCAGUUAUUUAGGCUUUAAAGCCUAUUAUAUGGAAUGAAAGGAGCAAAUUGGAACUUCUCAUUCUAAUUCUUAAAUUUAAUAUAUUAUACAUGAUAUAUUUAUCCAACCCCUACAAUUAUAUUGCAUAUAUUUGGAUAUUCCAACCCCUACAAUUCUGUGAUUCUGUGAUAUAUUGUAGCAGAUUCUGUCAUUUUAACACUUUGGAAAUUGCAAAUCUCUUUAAAUGAGUCAAUUUUGUUUUCCUAUUUUAAUGCUGUUUAUGGAAAAUUGCUUUUCAGAAAAAUAAAUACUCAGACAAAACAGAUUUUACAGAAUACCUGAGAAAACAUCACAGGACUUGGAAAAAGUGAAGCAUUUUGUUUUCAGCAACUUAAAACCUCAGCUUUGGGAGGUUUGAGGAGGGUAGAGAUAUUGUUAUUGGUCAGAGUAUUUUCUGAUUGUCUCUCUCUCUUCAUUUACUUGCUAUAGAUUCUGAUCAUUCCUUCUUUUCUUUUCCUCUCCUUCAUUACAAAAGAAUCAGAGGCUAUUAGAAAGCAUUAGACUGUUAGAUCAUGUGUAAAGUGGUUAGCAACAUCUUCACCUUUUCUGACUCUAGGUUCAGACUGCAAAGCUCUGUAGUGUCUCAUAGGAGAUAAUCAAAAUUCAGAGGAAAUACUUUGUCAUUCAGAAGUUAACAUACAGUAUUUCCAUAACUAUGAUAUAGUAAAUAAAAAAGUCACUUUAAUAUCAUUCUAGUUAGAUCAUCAUUCAACACAAAGUUUUAUGAAGUAUAAAUUGAGCUUUUAAUGAUUCUCUGUAUCUGGUAGCAUUUCUACCAGCACUGAGAGCUGCUUUUCCAAUAAAGCCUAACUUUAAAGCAUAGGAAAAUACAGGACAAAUCUGCAUCUAUCUCUACAUCAGUACCCUGAACAGCACAGCAUACCCUACAGAGACAACUUCCAGUAUGAAAAGUUAUUUCCUUCAGUUCAAAGCAGGGCAUUCUUCAAAUACAGCAUUAGUCCUAACAUCACUUUCGUUUCAAGGACUUUAGACUAAUGCCAACUUAACAUUAGCAUCUUUAGCCCACAGUGAACACCUUUUGCCAAUUUCAGACAAAAAUUCAGUACAUUUAUCAGAGUACUAAAAUAUAUUCAACGCCUUCUAGAGACUGAAGUAUGAACUGUUCUAAUAGCCACAUUUUGAUUUUGAUUGAGGAAAUUUCUUUUAACAACCUGGGUGAACUGUUCCAAAUCUUCACUUUCUAAUGCAGCUAGUUACAACCACUAUGGUGGUAACGUAUAUCUCAAGGGCCUGCCAUGUACUUCCUAGGAAGUUAACAUGGUUGUUGUCAUCAUUAUUAUGCUCUGUAUUUUGACCAUAGGUAUUUACUAUAGUUGGUAGUCUAUCAGAAAAAGGUUCAUUCCAAUCUUUUUCAUACACAAAAAAAAUGUCUGUGAAAGUAGCAUCAGAAAAUUUUAAACUAAUGCAAAUAUUAAUUGGCAGCACAGAUCAAUCAAGUAAUUGUAAUUUAAUUUGUCAUUUGUUGUAAUGUCACCAUUCCAUAUACAGAUAUGUGGAAACUUUAAAGACAUUUGGAUGUGAGAAACUAUUGACUUAAAUGGGAACGCUUACUUAAUAUGGGCUGCAGAAUUACUAUAUUUCUGAGUGAUUUCAGAUGUAACUUCUAUAGUAUCUAAACACUGAGCCUGUACCACAGGAUCUCACUGAAUGCAUUACAGUUUAUCCCCAGCGAGUUCAACAUAUUCAUUAGCUAUUUCUUAUAGCAAGCUACUUACUUAAAACACUACAGAAGUAAUUAGUCAAGUUGAAGAUCAAAGUCCAAGGAAAACAAUGCUGUUAAAUGCCACCUAAUCCUGAAAACACCUAAGAAUCUCUAACUUUUGGCUUUAUCCUCUGAUGCAUUAUUUUAGACCUCAAGAGGUUGUACCUCUAAAUAAUAAUUUUCUGUAAAAGCAGAAAUAAAUAUUAGAUGUAUUUGGGACCACUGACAAAUGAAAACACAAACCAAUCUGAAAUGAUAAUAUAUAAAAAUAAUUAAUGUACAAUACUUGCAAAUUGCUAUCCAAAUGCUUGUGCCCAUUUCUGUGACAUACUGCCACAGCAUGGUAGCAACCUGAUUUAAUCUCAGGUAUUAUUUUAACUCUGCAGUAUUUAUUUCUAACAACAGGUGCUCAGAAACAAGUAGGAACUGGGUUUGAAAUAAAAUAAAGUACAAGUUUUCCUUAUUCCUCUGAUUUCCACCUGUCCAGGUGACUUGCUUAACAGCACUGCAGGAACAACAUUGUAAUUUUAUUCUUUUUAUAUAUAGAAUAGUUGGGUAAUCGUAACUCUUUUUUUUUUUUUUCCCCCUCCCAGUUAUAGAAUAUUUUGUUAAGGCAUAGCAGACAGCAAUCCAGUGUUAUUGCAGUAUGCUACUAUUUAUAAACUGAUGUAAAAUUUCAGGCCCCCAAACAUUUCUCUAGUUCCUUGGUAUGGACUAAUGUCAUAAUGCCCUUUGAAUUCUCACUGUGGAGUGAACUGUCCCCUCUUCUGUGCUCAGAUUUUCCCUUCCAGGUUAGUUUAUUUCAAAUUGGAUUGCAUAGGAUAUGCAAACUUAAAAUACACAAAGUGAAACAUUGAGGUCCUGUGGUAAAAGAGGAACAAACCAAGGAACAAACCAAGCAGUGCACACUCAGGAAAAGGAAGUUGGCAAGGCUAGCUUUAUAUUUAACUGGACUGUCCCUAGGUAUAAGCUACAGCAUCAUCCUGUCUGUUCUGUUUAAACAUCUGAGUUUCCUUACAGAAGGGCUGUCUUUUUAGCAUGAAGCAGUUAGAAAUUUGCAUAUCUAUGUCACACUAGUGUAUUAUCAUUUCAAUCUUAACAUUUGGUUAAGAUUGAUUAAGAUCAGUACAGUUCAAUACUAAGGGAUGGGGGAGAAAACAGUAAGCUCCUGGUAGUAACCAAGUUUAAUUCACUUUUUUUUUUUUUUUUUUUUUGAGGUAGCUUCUGUACUGCAUGUGGAGAUAGGUUAUUUACAAACUGUAGUUAGUUUUGGCACACAAAAUACUUAAGCAAGCAAGUAUUCCUGGAAUUAAAAAAAAAAAAAAAAU